rnacentral:rRNA from 1 species
CUCCAGACUCCUACGGGAGGCAGCAGUGGGGGAUAUUGCACAGUGGGGGAAACCCUGAUGCAGCGACGCCGCGUGGGUGAAGAAGCGCCUCGGCGCGUAAAGCCCUGUCAGCAGGGAAGAAAAUGACGGUACCUGAAGAAGAAGCCCCGGCUAACUACGUGCCAGCAGCCGCGGUAAUACGUAGGGGGCAAGCGUUAUCCGGAUUUACUGGGUGUAAAGGGAGCGUAGACGGUGAUGCAAGUCAGAAGUGAAAGCCCGGGGCUCAACUCCGGGACUGCUUUUGAAACUGUGUAACUGGAGUGCAGGAGAGGUAAGCGGAAUUCCUGGUGUAGCGGUGAAAUGCGUAGAUAUCAGGAGGAACACCAGUGGCGAAGGCGGCUUACUGGACUGUAACUGACGUUGAGGCUCGAAAGCGUGGGGAGCAAACAGGAUUAGAUACCCUUGUAU